GGAAUCUACCUAGUAGUACGGAAUAAUUGUUGGAAACGGCAACUAAUACCGUAUACGCCCUAAGGGGGAAAGAUUUAUUGCUAUUAGAUGAGCCUAUAUUAGAUUAGUUAGUUGGUAAGGUAAUGGCUUACCAAGGCAAUGAUCUAUAGCUGAUCUGAGAGGAUGAUCAGCCACACUGGAACUGAGAUACGGUCCAGACUCCUACGGGAGGCAGCAGUGGGGAAUAUUGGACAAUGGGCGAAAGCCUGAUCCAGCCAUACCGCAUGAGUGAAGAAGGCCUUUGGGUUGUAAAGCUCUUUCGGUGAGGAAGAUAGUGACGGUACUCACAGAAGAAGUCCUGGCUAACUCCGUGCCAGCAGCCGCGGUAAUACGGAGAGGGCUAGCGUUAUUCGGAAUUAUUGGGCGUAAAGAGCGCGUAGGCUGGUUAGUAAGUUAAAAGUGAAAUCCCAAAGCUCAACUUUGGAAUUGCUUUUAAAACUGCUAACCUAGAGAUUGAAAGAGGAUAGAGGAAUUCCUAGUGUAGAGGUGAAAUUCGUAAAUAUUAGGAGGAACACCAGUGGCGAAGGCGUCUAUCUGGUUCAAAUCUGACGCUGAGGCGCGAAGGCGUGGGGAGCAAACAGGAUUAGAUACCCUGGUAGUCCACGCUGUAAACGAUGAAUGUUAAAUAUGGGAAGUUUACUUUCUGUAUUACAGCUAACGCGUUAAACAUUCCGCCUGGGGACUACGGUCGCAAGAUUAAAACUCAAAGGAAUUGACGGGGACCCGCACAAGCGGUGGAGCAUGUGGUUUAAUUCGAUGCAACGCGA
rnacentral:rRNA from 1 species